AAUAAUUUUUGUACCAUUUACUGUUUUUUAUUUAACCUAUUAGUGUAACAUUAUAUACAUUUCAUAUUACUUGGCUGUGUAUUUGGUGAAUUGUUUUGGUGAAUUAUUUUUCAUAAAAUACUCUUAAUCUGUUCACUAAUUUUCUAACGGCUCUUUCACUUUUGUAAAGUUUCAAAAAGUGACCAGAACUUACACCCUGGUUUUUUUGGUUUUUUUGGGUUUUGUGGAUCUUUUUAAUAUACCCUCCUUAUUUCUACAAUUGGAUGACUAAUAAGGCUACUUUGAACAGUUUUGAAACUAUGAAAAAGAUAGCUUUUUAUCUGUCUAGUGCUUUAUUUUACUGAAGUUACUCAGUGUAUUUAUUGUUUGAAUUUUCUGUUAACAGAUACUCCCUUCGGAGAGGUAGCUCCUUCACAUUUUUAACACCUGGCCCCCAUUGGGACUUCACUUUGAAAAGAAAACGAAGAGAGAAAGAUGAUGAUGUCGUCAGCCUUAGCAGCCUCGAUCUGAAAAAGUGAAGAUCUGUCAUUAACAUAUUGAGUAAGCCAACAGAAUGAUAAAGCUGGUCAAAAGAUAUAGGAAACACUGAAGUAUUCUGGUCACUGAGAGAGAGAACGAUGGGAUAAGACUGCUAAAUUGGAUACGAAACAGAUGAAUACCCUCAUCUUCAUCGCUGCCUACAGAACAUAUUUGCAUUGCUCUCAGUUUGCUGCAGAGUUAACAUCUACCCUUACAGAUCUGUAAAAAAAAACAAAAA